AAACCAGCACCUCAAGUGGUCAGGAUGAUUAUUGGGCCUAAAGCAUCCGUAGCCGGCUCUGUAAGUUUUCGGUUAAAUCUGUACGCUUAACGUACAGGCUGCCGGGAAUACUGCAGAGCUAGGGAGUGGGAGAGGUAGACGGUACUCGGGAGGAAGUGGUAAAAUGCUUUGAUCUCUCGAUGACCACCUGUGGCGAAGGCGGUCUACCAGAACACGUCCGACGGUGAGGGAUGAAAGCUGGGUGAGCAAACCGGAUUAGAAACCCCGGUAGUCC
rnacentral:rRNA from 1 species